rnacentral:rRNA from 1 species
GACGGGUGAGUAACACGUGGGCAACCUGCCUGUAAGACCGGGAUAACGCCGGGAAACCGGGGCUAAUACCGGAUAGUUUUUUUCUCCGCAUGGAGGAAAAAGGAAAGGCGGCUUCGGCUGCCACUUACAGAUGGGCCCGCGGCGCAUUAGCUAGUUGGCGGGGUAACGGCCCACCAAGGCAACGAUGCGUAGCCGACCUGAGAGGGUGAUCGGCCACAUUGGGACUGAGACACGGCCCAAACUCCUACGGGAGGCAGCAGUAGGGAAUCUUCCGCAAUGGACGAAAGCCUGACGGAGCAACGCCGCGUGAGUGAAGAAGGCCUUCGGGUCGUAAAACUCUGUUGCCGGGGAAGAACAAGUGCCGUUCGAACAGGGCGGCGCCUUGACGGUACCCGGCCAGAAAGCCACGGCUAACUACGUGCCAGCAGCCGCGGUAAUACGUAGGUGGCAAGCGUUGUCCGGAAUUAUUGGGCGUAAAGCGCGCGCAGGCGGCUUCUUAAGUCUGAUGUGAAAUCUUGCGGCUCAACCGCAA